UACGUAGGGGGCAAGCGUUGUCCGGAUUUAUUGGGCGUAAAGAGCGUGUAGGCGGCUUUACAGGUCCGUUGUGAAAACUCGAGGCUCAACCUCGAGACGCCGGUUGAAACCAUCUGGCUAGAGUCCGGAAGAGGCGAGUGGAAUUCCUGGUGUAGCGGUGGAAUGCGCAGAUAUCAGGAGGAACACCAACGGCGAAGGCAGCUCGCUGGGACGGUACUGACACUGAGGCGCGAAAGCGUGGGGAGCGAACAGG
rnacentral:rRNA from 1 species